rnacentral:lncRNA from 14 species
AUGUACUAUGGUUUUGGUUUUGCCAGGAAAGCCAAUCUCGGGCUAGUCCAAAAUGUUCUCCUUGUUCCAAUGCCACCACUUUUGCAUCAGCAGAAGACACACCAGCAAGUGAUAGGCCAGCAAAGCCUCCCUCCCAGUGUGGAGUCUUCAGAUGCUCCUAAAUGGGAAGAGACUCAGAAACCCAGUCCUCUGAAGGUGGAUGAACCAAAAAGCCAUGGCUGGAGAAGAAGUAGAGUUUUGUAUCUUGGGUUGUAUUCUGUCUUGCUGCCUUGGAAUUUUAUUGAUGGGUGCAAGUGUAGUGCCUAAAUAUCAUUACAUAAAUGUAUAUAGUACAUACAGUACUUCAUUUACUAAGGCUAGUCUUCCAUUAUUGUGUCAUACUUAAGUCAUUAGACUUUAAAGUUACAUUUUUUUAACUUUAAAGUUAAAAUGUGAAUUUAUGUCUUCUUUUGUUCCAGAAGAAUAUCUGCCAAUAUCUCUCUGUAGGUCUAGACUUACCCUGGAAUAUAGUAAGCUUCUGUUAUGCAGCUGUUUAAAGAAUCUGCAAGCCCACAAUAACCAGUGUUAUUUUAUAUAAUGCUACCAAAUAUGAUUGUAGCUGGACAGAUUCCUCCUUUUUGCCAGAGUGAAACUUGAGGACAAAAGACAUUGGACAAAACUGCGUUUCAUACUAAUCAGUUUUACAUUUGCUGCUUUGUUCAGAGAAGAUUACAAACCAGUGCUUACUGGAGUCUUCAACAGUUGUUCUGAAAGCUGUGACUCAGUGUUGGGGGGGUAAUGUGGCUUAUCUGCUAAUGGACAUCAUAGAGAAGCAUAGUUUAUCAGGAACCAGUAUAUGUUCAACAAUACUCUUUUUCAGGGACCAUGCUUUCUGCUUUGUGUAAUACAGAACAUUCAUUUUUCAUAGAAUUAUUCCAUUUAAACUCUCUUCUAUUACAUACCUCUAAAUUAAAUGCAACAUCAUGUAGUUUCAUCAACAACCCACUUGACAGAACUUUUAUUUCCUCAAGAGUACUGGCAAAACACUGGAUCAAAGUUUGGACACAAGUAGAAUAAAUCUCCUGAUUCAGCUGAAAAACUUGUGCA